rnacentral:tRNA from 1 species
AGCCCCGUAGGGUAGUGGACAAUCCUACAAGGCUUUGGACCUUGUGACUCAGGUUCGAAUCCUGGCGGGGCUA